GCGGCCGUGCUGGAAUUGGCAAGACAGGCUGGUUUUAGGUACCAGUGCCUUCGAGGCGUGUGGGUUCGAGUCCCACCGGCCGUA
rnacentral:tRNA from 1 species